UCAGUAUUUAAACAAUGGAUUGGAUCUGGCAUCGGUUGAAUAUUUAUUUGGCUUUUCCACUUGAAAGAACAAGGCAUAUAGAAACGAUGUAGGUGAGAAAGAGACAUCUUCUCCGUUUCCACAUAUUAUUUAGAAGGAGCGGCGUCCCCUCUAAAGCAUUUAAAGGAAAUGACACUCCAAUUCAUAGUAAGAAACACAUUUUCUAAAUCGACUUUGCCAAAGCAGUGUAGGUUUGCAGCGAAACAUCGCCCUCUACUGGACAGACUGGCAUUCUGCAACGGUGGUAGAUUCAAAACAGAACAAAAGUUAAUUCUAUUAGGUGUCAAAUCCCAUUAUGAAUAACUGCUAUCAGGCGUCCUUCAGUGUGGCUCUUGACACUGGAAGCAGAGAACUGAUGACUUUCCAUUUGCUUCUGGUGGUGGCUGAAUGAAGAGCGCGGAAUGAGCACAGCGCCGACUACAGGGCACACUGGAGUAGUCCUGUUUGGGGACUAUCGAAAUCGUCAGAAUGAACCAGCCCCAGCGAAUACAGAGAGCGUCACACGGAGAGGACCCAUGAAGGGAGAAGACAGCCUGUGCUGCUGAGCAAGGGGCCUGCAUGACUUGUUACCUAAAGCAGAAUGACCUGGAGGAACAGAAGAAACAAUGGUCGUUGUCCUUAACAACCCACUGACUGCUGCUUACACCUAAUUUUGCUUGCCUGCAGCCCUAUCUGUGGUUUUAGAGUAAUUUGAACCAGACCCAAUCCCGAGGCCUUGGCUACUGUUAUGCCCAAAUCUGCGAAGUCUCCCAAAGGCCAACAAGGAGACCGAGUCCCGUAUGUAGAAGCAAAGAGCCUUUAUUUUGUGCAAGUUUGCAAACUUGAUCUCUCAGCAUGUCCAACGUAUUGGAAUAAACGAAGAGCCCCGAGCUCAGUUAUGAGUUGAGUUUUUACACUAGUAAAAGUGGGGGUGAAGGGUUUCUGAGGUUCAGGACCCCUGAUUGGCUGACAUUUGUCUAGGGGUGUCCUGGUGCGUGUGUGCUGGCAGGUGAUCCUAUCUACAGUGGUUGGAAGUUAGGCAUUUCCUUUGGUCUGGUGGUGCUGAGGGUAAUCUCAGUUUGUGGUUCUUUCUGCAACCAGGUAUUGCUUCAGGGUAAACUACUGAGACUCUGGCCUAUUAAAUUUAUGGAUGACUGAGUCUUACUCUGGCAGUUGAUAAGGGUUGGAAGUAAAGAACUUCCUUCGGGUGAUCUGUUCAUAUUUAGCUUAUCAUGGCUGGCUCCUACAGUGACAGAGCCUCUCUUCCACUCUUACCAGUUCCGGCAUGGUUUUUUCAGGAUUCUGGGGACAUUACCGAUCAGAAAACAAAGGGGCAGAAGAUGGCUCAUCUGGCAAAAGUCUGGUGAACUGAGUUGGAUGCCCAUGUAAAGGUAGAAGGAGAGAAAUAAAUCUAGGUGUCCUUUGACCUCCCAACAUAACCACGGUGCUCACAAAGUAAUAGUACACUUUUAGUUUCCAAAAUAGUUUGCUUUCCACAACUUUGAUGUCACCUAAUAGAACCAAUUUACAAAGCUAAAGGGUUAUUUGGCUCCUAGGUUCAUAAACUGUUGGGUCUUUGAUAUUUAUUUUCAAGGAGACACCAGCAGAUGUCAGCAAAAACUAAGGUGUCACAUGAACUUUCAAUAAACACUAAGUUUUUUCACAGGGUGACUAUGAUUUAAGUGGGAAGUUUCACAUGAAAGGUUGGUCCAGCUAGGACCAGCCACCUUGUUCGGCACAGUCAACCAACCUCCCUUUUGGGAGGUUGAGAGAGGUGUGAGUAGAGAAAUAUGGAUUUCUGGGAGGUAAAACUUUCCCAAAGAUUCAAAUGUUCUUGUUAAACAAACCUAACAACAGAUAGGGAUUCUUUCCAGUGGUAAGCUGGCUUAGCUGAUAAAGUGCUUGCUGCUCACGUAAGGAUGGGUUUGGAUCCCCAGCACCCACAUUUGUGGUUGUGGUAGCCACCUGUAAUCAGACUAAGGGUGACUCCCUGCAUAAGCUGACCAGCUAGAACAGUCCAAUCAGCAAGCUCCAGGGCCAGGAAGUCAUCCAGCCUCAAUAAAUAAAGUGGCAAGGAAUAGAGGAGGCAUCCAAGUCAAUCUGGGGCCUACACAUCCACGUGCACACGUACACACACACACUUAAAAUAACAGCAAGCCUGCAUUGUUUCUAAAAUAGUCUUUAUUAGUUUACUCAAGAUCAGAUAUACAUUUGUCUACAAACGCUGCAAUAUGCUCAUUGUUUGGUCCCCAAAUGGACAAAGAACAAACAGCAAAACUGUUCAAGAUGUUUCCCCUUGGAAAAAGUUAUUACUGUCUACAAAAAGAUCUGUUCAAAGGAAUGCUGAAAUAUAGCCAUUUUAUAUAAGGUCUUUCUCCAUUAGAAAUAGACUCGCGCUGUAAGCAAAAAUAAAUGCCUACAACUUGGCAGUGUGGUGACAAAUGCAUGUCAGCCUGGGAAGGCUGAGGUAAGAAGUCUGCAGGGCUCCCAGGCCAGCCUCUGCUAUAGAGCAAGGUCCUGCUGCAAACAAAACAAAACAAUACACACAAAAAAUGCUCUGAAGAGCACAAGCACAUUUAGGAAUCAAAGGAGAAACAAGAAAAAAUGACUAUAAUCAAAGGAUCCUAAGGAUCCAUUUAAAACUGGAGUCUACCUAUACCCCUACAAAAUAGUUAAACUUAGGGAAAAAAAAUCCUGCCUUUUAAUUUAAAAAUGUAGUUAAAGCUUUAUUGAUACUACUCAGCUGAAAUUCAGAUCCAAGAACUAUCAGUUUCUGAUAGCUGGGCCAAAGAAAAAACUUAAAAGAACAUUUAAUUCCAAGUUAAAAUUUUUAUCAAAGAAAAACCAGUGAGUGUAGAGAUAAGAAAAUGAACAAAAAAAUGGUAUUCUAAUGGUCAAUUCAACUCACUACACCCAUACAGAUUUCUCUCCAGAAACUUAAGUUCUACUUUCUCUCUCUACUUUUUUCAUCACCCCCGCAAGUGACAUUUUCAGAACUCUCACUCAAAUGUGUGAGCCAAUGGGUAUGUAGUUCUCAGAGUACAGAAAUAAUGCUGCAAUGAUUUUAAUAAAAAUGGCCCCAUUGGCUCACACAUUUGAAGGCUUAAUCACCACCGAGAGGUACUUUUUGCUAAGGUCUUGUUGGAGGAAGUGUGUCACCGGGCAUGAUGAGCUUUGAGAUUUCCCAAGUCCAGGCCAGGCCCAGCCUCUUUCUCUGCCUGUGGAUAGGGAUGUAAAGGUCUCAGACACUGCUCUAACACCUGACGGCACACCACCAGCUCUCUACCACAGUGGCCUAAGCCUCUGAACUGCAAGUGAGCCA